UGCUCACUAUUGAGAAUAUUCUUUAUUUUGUUUUACAAGGUUCAUUGUUGGUUUCUUUCUUGGUGCCAUCCCCUGGUAUAUCGGAGCUUUUCUGCUUUUGUGUGUCCGAAUGGACUACAGAGAGAAGCCUGGACUUAUUGCGUGCACAUUAGCUGCUAUUCUCGCAAUGGUAGCUGUAACCCUCGGUGUGACAAAGGCAACUCAUUCCUGGUGAAAGGUGCCCGGGCUGCUUAAGUUUUAUACAUUCCCUUACCAUGAAGACGGAGAGCGAAAUCUCAGAGGGCAUGAAAUCUAAUAGUUUUGAGUCGGUAUUCAUCUUCUUUUAUCUGUAUAGCUGCUCUUAAUUGGAUCUGGAUUGGUAAUGUUAAUGCUUAUUUCUGUGCUCUUAAGAAUGAAAUGCACACUAGUCUUCUUUCCCUCAAUCCUUCAAUCAUUCAAUCAA